rnacentral:rRNA from 1 species
AUUGAACGCUGGCGGCAUGCUUUACACAUGCAAGUCGUGCGGCAGCGCGGGGGCAACCCUGGCGGCGAGCGGCGAACGGGUGAGUAAUGCAUCGGAACGUAUCCUCGAGUGGGGGAUAACCCAGCGAAAGUUGGGCUAAUACCGCAUGAGCUCUGAGGAGGAAAGCGGGGGACCUGCGAGGGCCUCGCGCUGGAGGAGCGGCCGAUGUCCGAUUAGCUAGUUGGUGGGGUAAAGGCUUACCAAGGCGACGAUCGGUAGCUGGUCUGAGAGGAGGAUCAGCCACACUGGGGCUGAGACACGGCCCAGACUCCUACGGGAGGCAGCAGUGGGGAAUUUUGGACAAUGGGGGCAACCCUGAUCCAGCUAUGCCGCGUGAGUGAAGAAGGCCUUCGGGUUGUAAAGCUCUUUCGGACGGAACGAAAUGGGCGGGACUAAUACUCCUGUCUGAUGACGGUACCGUAAGAAGAAGCACCGGCUAACUACGUG